GUGUAGGAUAGGUGGGAGACUGUGAAGCAUGCACGCCAGUGUGUGUGGGGUCGUUGUUGAAAUACCACUCUGAUCGUAUUGGACGUCUAACCUCGGCCCAUGAUCUGGGUUAGGGACAGUGCCUGGUGGGUAGUUUAACUGGGGCGGUUGCCUCCUAAAGAGUAACGGAGGCGCCCAAAGGUUCCCUCAGCCUGGUUGGCAAUCAGGUGUCGAGUGUAAGUGCACAAGGGAGCUUGACUGUGAGACGGACGUGUCG
rnacentral:rRNA from 1 species